UACAGAGGUGGCAAGCGUUGUUCGGAAUUACUGGGCGUAAAGGGCGCGUAGGCGGCCCUCUUAGUCGGACGUGAAAUCCCCAGGCUUAACUUGGGAACUGCGUCCGAUACUGGAGGGCUUGAGUGCGGGAGAGGGAUGUGGAAUUCCAGGUGUAGCGGUGAAAUGCGUAGAUAUCCGGAGGAACACCGGUGGCGAAGGCGGCUUCCUGGACCGACACUGACGCUGAGGCGCGAAAGCUAGGGGAGCAAACGGG
rnacentral:rRNA from 1 species